AUUUGAAAUCUGGCGCAAGCCCGAGUUGUAAUUUGUAGAGGAUGCUUCUGGGUAGCGGCCGGUCUAAGUUCCUUGGAACAGGACGUCAUAGAGGGUGAGAAUCCCGUAUGUGACUGGCUUGCACCCUCCACGUAGCUCCUUCGACGAGUCGAGUUGUUUGGGAAUGCAGCUCUAAAUGGGAGGUAAAUUUCUUCUAAAGCUAAAUACCGGCCAGAGACCGAUAGCGCACAAGUAGAGUGAUCGAAAGAUGAAAAGCACUUUGGAAAGAGAGUUAAAAAGCACGUGAAAUUGUUGAAAGGGAAGCGCCCGCAACCAGACUUUGCGGCAGGGUUCGGCCGGUCUUCUGACCGGUUUACUCGCUGUCGGGAGGCCAUCAUCGUCUGGGACCGCUGGAUAAGACCUUAGGAAUGUGGCUCCCCUCGGGGAGUGUUAUAGCCUCUGGUGAAGCCGCGCGUCCCGGUAGCGGACCUCGCCUUCGGCAUGUGUGAUGGCGAAAUGCUGGUCGGCUCCCCCGUCAUUGAACCACUGGCCCAAGGAGUCUAAAGUCUAUGCACAGUGUUCGGUCGGGACCCCCCCUACGCGUAAUUUAAAGUGAACGGAGGUGAGGACCUUUUUGGGGCCCCUAUGACCGACCAAAAUGUCCCCGGAUGCGUUUGAUUCAUAGCAUAGCUGUUGGGGACCACAAAAAAUACUGACCUAGGUCUGAAUAUCCGUUGAGCCAGAGGUAAACUAUGGGUCCGCCCACGCCGAGGGAUUCCGACGUGCAUUGCCGAUCGUCAGGAUCUUGGGCAUGAGGGGGGAAAGCACUCAAUCAGAAGGCAUACUAGUACUCUCGGUCGGUGCCCCAGAUUUCCUUCGGUAUUAAUCACUAGACGGUUCUAGACUUAUUAUGAGG
rnacentral:rRNA from 1 species